rnacentral:rRNA from 1 species
GUGCCAGCCGCCGCGGUAAUACGAAGGUGGCAAGCGUUGUUCGGAAUCACUGGGCUUAAAGAGCACGUAGGCGGCCUCAUAAGCGCUUUGUGAAAUCCCUCGGCUCAACCGAGGAAUUGCUGGGCGAACUGUGAGGCUUGAGGCAAGUAGGGGUGCAUGGAACUCUUGGUGGAGCGGUGAAAUGCGUAGAUAUCAAGAGGAACGCCGGUGGCGAAAGCGGUGCACUGGGCUUGUCCUGACGCUGAGGUGCGAAAGCUAGGGGAGCAAACGGGAUUAGAUACCCUCGUAGUCC